rnacentral:rRNA from 1 species
UACGGAAGGCAGCAGUGGGGAAUAUUGCACAAUGGGCGAAAGCCUGAUGCAGCUAUGCCGCGUGUAUGAAGAAGGCCUUAGGGUUGUAAAGUACUUUCAUCGGGGAGGAAAAACAAAACUAAUAAUUUUAUUUCUUGACGUUACCCGAAAAAGAAGCACCGGCUAACUCCGUGCCAGCAGCCGCGGUAAUACGGAGGGUGCUAGCGUUAAUCAGAAUUACUGGGCGUAAAGAGCACGUAGGUGGUUUUUUUAAGUCAGAUGUGAAAUCCCUGGGCUUAACCUAGGAACUGCAUUUUGAAACUGAAAUACUAGAGUAUCGUAGAGGGAGGUAGAAUUCUAGGUGUAGCGGUGAAAUGCGUAGAUAUCUGGAGGGAUACCUGUGGCGAAAGCGGCCUCCUAAACGAAUACUGACACUGAGGUGCGAAAGCGUGGGGAGCAAACGAGGGAUUAGAUACC